rnacentral:lncRNA from 1 species
UAAAGGUUGAAAUAGCCAGGCUGGUAGGUUUUGGUAACCAAGUUGAAUUAUUUAGCAAAGGCAUUUAGAUUUUCUAAGGGGCCAGGGAAGUCCUUUGUUGCAGCUCUGGGUUCUGCCUUUGUUCAAGGGGACUAAGUUCCUGAAGAGGUCCUUGAGAGUCCUUCAUUAGAUUUAACCUUAAAUGUGGCAUGGAUAGGACAAGUCAUUAGUCACACUCUUAGGAUGGGAACUCCCCAUGAUUGAUCACCAAAACAAAGAUUCUUUGCAACCAGGGUCACCAGAAAAAAGGAGAAAUCUAUUGUAAAAGCUGGCAACAGAGGACAACCAAAAAAAGGCCUGAACCUCAGCUAGGGUAAGAAGGUGGUUCAGGACACAAAAAGACUUAUCCAGUGAAGUUUGGGGUCAUUCGGAGUCAAUAAAAUGCAAGGAGUUCCCACAGAUACUUUUUCUUGGGUAUAUGGUGGCACAGGAGAUCAGAAGGGAGUCACUUUGCAUCCCACUUCUGACACCAUGUAAUGUCAACUAAGAAAUAAAACUAACACUGCAGAGUGGCAAACAAAAGAAAACACAUUUUAAUUAGGGUCUUAGGAAUUGCAAUUCAAGAGACACAGAUCUAGCAAAGCAGCUAAAUUAUGUUCCAUCUAGGCAAGCUUAAGCAGAGGCUUAUAAGCGCCACAGUAAGUUUACACAUCAGGAAGGUUUUAGCACAGUUUAUGAUUGAUGAUGGCAGGUUAUCAGCGUAGGAUGUCUCUAGUCAAUGAUCCAUCCAGUUUUGGCACACUUUGUGAUUGAUUAUGGCAGGUUAUUGGUGUAGGAUGUCUUUAGUCAAUGAUCAAUCCAGUUCAGUGUAGCUGAACUCUCCAGGAGGUUGGUGAUCAGGCUCAAUAUAAACAGCUCAAAUCAAAUGCAGGUGGUUGUAUAAUUUGGCCUAGUUAAACAGGUUGAAUUCCAUCUGGAUGUGUACAUAACUGGGGUCCAACGCCUCCUACCCUCCUGCAUCCUUUUUAGAAAGGACACAUGUUGGAUUUUUCUUUUAACACCCUGCCAAAAGAUUCUGUCCCCAUAGAGAGUUAUUAGCAAGACAAGGAGAUUCCCCUCAGUGCUCCUAUGAAAUGUUUUCAAAUGUUCUACUGUUACGGGAAGUCAGGGACCCUGAACAGAGGGACCGGCUGAAGCUGCAGCAGAGGAACAUAAAUUGGGACAACUUC